rnacentral:rRNA from 1 species
GAUGAACGCUGGCGGCGUGCUUAACACAUGCAAGUCGAACGGAAAGGCCUCUGCUUGCAGGGGUACUCGAGUGGCGAACGGGUGAGUAACACGUGGGUGAUCUGCCCUGCACUUCGGGAUAAGCCUGGGAAACUGGGUCUAAUACCGGAUAGGACAAUGGUUUGGAUGCUGUUGUGGAAAGUUUUUCGGUGUGGGAUGAGCUUGCGGCCUAUCAGCUUGUUGGUGGGGUAAUGGCCUACCAAGGCGGCGACGGGUAGCCGGCCUGAGAGGGUGUACGGCCACAUUGGGACUGAGAUACGGCCCAGACUCCUACGGGAGGCAGCAGUGGGGAAUAUUGCACAAUGGGCGCAAGCCUGAGGCAGCGACGCCGCGUGGGGGAUGACGGCCUUCGGGUUGUAAACUCCUUUCGCUAGGGACGAAGCGUUUUUGUGACGGUACCUGGAGAAGAAGCACCGGCUAACUACGUG